rnacentral:misc_RNA from 1 species
GAUGAAGAACGUAGCGAAAUGCGAUAAGUAAUGUGAAUUGCAGAAUUCAGUGAAUCAUCGAAUCUUUGAACGCACAUUGCGCCCGCCAGUAUUCUGGCGGGCAUGCCUGUUCGAGCGUCAUUUCAACCAUCAAGCCCUGCUUGCGUUGGGGUCCUGCGGCUGCCCGCAGGCCCUGAAAACCAGUGGCGGGCUCGCUAGUCACACCGAGCGCAGUAAUACAUCUUGCUUUGGGCGUGCGGCGGGUUCUUGCCGUUAAACACCCCCUUUUUACCAAGGUUGACCUCGGAUCAGGUAGGAAUACCCGCUGAACUUAAGCAUAUCAAUAAGCGGAGGA